CACGGUGUAGGCGCUGGACCAGCCGCGAGGGGUGAGCAGCUCCAUGCAGAUAGCCCCGCCGUCCAGCACGUAGCCGUUCUCCAGGCGGGGGCUGAGCACCCUCAUGAAGGGCGGCGAGAAGGGGAAGUUGUCGGGGAAGAUUUCUCAGCCCACCUGCUCCCCCCAAACGCCCAGGCUAAUGUGGCCUCAUGGGCUUGUGACUGCACUGAAAGUAUCAGAAACGUGAUCGCUGGGUGCUGGAUCCAUACAACCGCUUUCCCCUUCAAAGACUGAAAAGGGAAGAGAGAAACACUUUCCCCUGGGGAGGAAGAAGGCAAAGGCUGAAGAAUAAAUACAGCUAUUCAUCAGUGAACACA